AAUUUUUGGGGGGGGUUUUAAAAAACCCCCCCAAAAAAGGGGGGGCCCCCCCCCCUUUUUUUUAAAAAAACCCCCCCGGGGGGGGUUUUUUUUU
rnacentral:antisense_RNA from 1 species